AUUUAUGUAGUUUAUGAAAACAUUUCAUUUUCAAUGAAAAAAAAAGAAUUUAAUUCUUCAUAAAUA
rnacentral:tRNA from 1 species